AAGGUGUAGCCGAAGCGAAAGCGAGUCUGAAAUGGGCGUGAGUCUGCAGUGAUAAACCCGAAACCCGGUGAUCUAAUCAUGGCCAGGGUGAAGCGCGGGUAACACCGCGUGGAGGCCCGAACAAGUGGAAGUUGAAAAUUCCUUUGAUGAGCUGUGAUUAGGGGUGAAAGGCCAAUCAAACCGGGUGAUAGCUGGUUCUCCCCGAAAUAUAUCUAGGUAUAGCCUUGGGUAAAUUCUAUUCCGGAGGUAGAGCACUGAAUGGGCUAGGGGUCUUUACCAGAUUACCAAACCCAACCAAACUCCGAAUGCCGGAAAUAGUUACCCCAGGAGGCAGUCAUAGGGUGAUAAGGUCCUGUGACGAGAGGGAAAGAGCCCAGACCGUCGGUUAAGGUCCCUAAAUAUGUGCUAAGUGGAAAACGUUGUGGAGUUACUGAGACAACCAGGAGGUUGGCUUAGAAGCAGCAAUCCUUUAAAGAAAGCGUAAUAGCUCACUGGUCUAGUGACUCUGCGCGGAAAAUAUAACGGGGCUCAAGCACAUUACCGAAACCACGGGUUUGCAGUUUCGACUGCAAGCGGUAGGGGAGCGUUCUAGUAUAGGCUGAAGGUCGAUCGUGAGGACGGCUGGACGAACUAGAAGUGAUCAUGCUGGCAUAAGUAGCGUUUAACCUAAGUGAAAAACUUAGGCGCCGUAAACUCAAGGGUUCCUGGGCAAGGAUAAUCCUCCCAGGGUUAGUCGGGUCCUAAGGCGAGGCCAAUUGGCGUAGUCGAUGGAAAAACGGUUAAUAUUCCGUUACCGACUUUGAUGUAAGUAUAGGAGUGACGGACUAGGAUAGGUCAGCCUGUUAAUGGAUUCAGGUGUAAGCGUGUAGGAGGUGAUGUAGGCAAAUCCGCAUCACUUAACUCUGAGGCGCGAAUGCGAGGAGAUUUUAUCUCCGGAAGUGAUCGACUCCACGGUUCCAAGAAAAGCUUCGAUACGUUGUCAAAGUUGCCCGUACCGUAAACCGACUCAGGUGAGUGGGAUGAGUAUUCUAAGGCGAUUGGGUUAAAUCUGGUUAAGGAACUCGGCAACUUAACACCGUAACUUCGGGAUAAGGUGUGCCAUCUAGAGUGUAAUUCCUUGCGAAUGAAGCUUUGGGUGGUCGCAGAGAAAUGGGAGUAGCGACUGUUUAUCAAAAACACAGGCAUGUGCAAAGUCACAAGACGACGUAUACAUGCUGACGCCUGCCCGGUGCUGGAAGGUUAAGAGGAUUUGUUAGUCGCAAGACGAAGCUGAGAAUCGAAGCCCCAGUAAACGGCGGCCGUAACUAUAACGGUCCUAAGGUAGCGAAAUUCCUUGUCGGGUAAGUUCCGACCUGCACGAAUGGCGUAACGACUUCUCCGGUGUCUCAACCAGAUGCCCAGCGAAUUUGAAAUCUCAGUGAAAAUGCUGAGUACCCGCAGAAAGACGGAAAGACCCCGUGAACCUUUACUGUAGCUUGGCAGUGAUCUUAGAGUCAUCAUGUGUAGGAUAGGUGGGAGCCUUUGAAGCCGGAACGCUAGUUUCGGUGGAGGCAACCUUGAAAUACCACCCUUGAUGUCUUUGAGAUCUAACCUGCGCCCGUUAUCCGGGCGAGGGACACUGUCUGGUGGGCAGUUUGACUGGGGCGGUCGCCUCCUAAAGAGUAACGGAGGCGUACGAAGGUUCCCUCAGCCUGAUUGGAAACCAGGCGCUGAGUGCAUUGGCAUAAGGGAGCUUAACUGCGAGACCUACAAGUCGAGCAGGUGCGAAAGCAGGUCAAAGUGAUCCGGUGGUCCCGAGUGGAAGGGCCAUCGCUCAACGGAUAAAAGGUACUCCGGGGAUAACAGGCUGAUCUCCCCCAAGAGUUCACAUCGACGGGGAGGUUUGGCACCUCGAUGUCGGCUCAUCGCAUCCUGGGGCGGUAGUACGUCCCAAGGGUUGGGCUGUUCGCCCAUGAAAGCGGUACGCGAGCUGGGUUCAGAACGUCGUGAGACAGUUCGGUCCAUAUCCGGUGUAGGCGUUAGAAUAUUGAGAGGAGCCUUCUUUAGUACGAGAGGACCGAGAAGGACAUACCUCUGGUGUACCAGUUAUCGUGCCAACGGUAAACGCUGGGUAGCCAUGUAUGGAGUGGAUAACCGCUGAAAGCAUCUAAGUGGGAAGCCCACCUCAAGAUAAGUAUUCUCAUCACGUAAGUGAAUAAGGUCACGGUAAGACUAACCGUUUGAUAGGCAUUAAGUGUAAAUCUAGUAAUAGGUGAGCUGAGAUGUACUAACAGACCGAAGACUUGAAUUU
rnacentral:rRNA from 1 species